GCCUUCAGGUUCGCCCCUUUGAAAUUUCAAAUUCCAGUUUGUGGACAAAGUCCUAACUAUCUCACAAUAUAGGUCCCCAACUGCUGACCAAACUCCAGUCCAAGCAGCCACCUGGCCUGAGACUGGCCUGGCUUUGCCGUUUCCUUUGGCAGCUCCCAAGACCUGAGGGUAGGAGUCCUGGGCAGCUAGGACCUGCCAGGCCAUCCUGUAUCUCCCAUGGGGUUCACGACCCAGGGACCCCUGUUCCUAUCUGAGAGGAUCACUUCUUCCUGAAGCUGGAACCCGAUACUUGUUGGUGCCAACAACUGAAACCAGAAUGUCAGCUUGAAAUGGCCCCGUGUUCAGCUACUUGGAGAUAAUCUACUUACAUUUCUCCAGCCCCCCGAUGUGGAGAUGCCCGCUGGCUGCAUUCCUCAUAGUACACCCCAAACCCUGAACAGGUCCAAAUGAAACAAAGAAGAUGCAACUAAUAGGAAUUUGGUAGUGUGCUGAAGAGGCCUUCGAGGAGAAAUUGUUGGGGAUGCGGACUGUGAGCUCGUGAGCUCAUCUCGUGAGCUCAUCAGAUCCUAGAUUGUCUGGCCAGUCAAUGAAGAAAUCACGAGGUACCCGUUCAGAGAGAGACUGCCAGGCUCAUCUUCCUUCCCUAGGAACAGGGGCUUGAAGACCACGAGCAGGCGGUUGGUGGGUAAGUACAGGCAAAACGAAGGGCCCUGGCCCAACCCACCUCUCUGGAUCAGUCUGCUCCUAGUCUAUCGGGGCUAUUCACAUUGGACUACUUUGCUUUUAGGCAGGGGGAUAGCCUCAUAGUUGCUCUGUUCUCUGGAUGUGACUGUGACCCUUGUCUCGGCCAGUGACAUGAGAGGAAAAGCAAGUGGUGCCAACCCCAGUCCGAAGCCUUGAGGCUAGGUGCUUCUUUACAGAAACAAAGAUGGGUAGAGUCACCACGGUGAAGAGCGCCCUCUGCUGACCAAAGCGGGACAUGCACUAUAAGGGACUUAGACCCCCGCUAAUGGAACCAGUCUUGGAGGUGUUUUGUCACAGAACAUACCUAAUCAGAUGGGACUUCUCAACGCAUCUCGGGUUUUCCCAAGAACUCUUAUCAUAUCUGAAAACCACCUCUAAUGUUACCAAAUACAAUCUCUCUUGCAAUGGUCA